GACGAACGCUGGCGGCGUGCCUAAUACAUGCAAGUCGAACGAGAAAUUCUUACACCGGAUGCUUGCAUCCACCGUAAGAUUUCGAGUGGCGGACGGGUGAGUAACACGUGAGUAACCUGCCCUUCACUCUGGGAUAAGCGCUGGAAACGGUGUCUAAUACUGGAUAUUUAGGCUCUGCUGCAUGGUGGGGUUUGGAAAGAUUUUUUGGUGGAGGAUGGGCUCGCGGCCUAUCAGUUUGUUGGUGGGGUGAUGGCCUACCAAGACGACGACGGGUAGCCGGCCUGAGAGGGUGACCGGCCACACUGGGACUGAGACACGGCCCAGACUCCUACGGGAGGCAGCAGUGGGGAAUAUUGCACAAUGGGCGAAAGCCUGAUGCAGCGACGCCGCGUGAGGGAUGACGGCCUUCGGGUUGUAAACCUCUUUCAGUAGGGAAGAAGCGAGAGUGACGGUACCUGCAGAAGAAGCGCCGGCUAACUACGUGCCAGCCGCCGCCGUAACAC
rnacentral:rRNA from 1 species